AAGAAAUUAGUUUAAAAAAACAUUAAUUUGUCAAAUUAAAGAUAAUAUAUAUAUAUUAUUUCUUU
rnacentral:tRNA from 1 species